rnacentral:lncRNA from 1 species
AAAAAUCUCCUUUUUGUGUUCUCUCAAAUCUUCUAAUUCAUGCUUCAUCCUAAAUCUAAUUUCAGGAUUAGUUAUCUAAAUCUCUUAAUAAUCUCCAUUUUUGAAAAACAUAUCAGCCGAGCGUUUCUUUUCCAAAAAUCUCCAUCUUCCCCAAAAAUCUUCUCGACAAUUCAUACAAUCAGCCGAGCGUUUCUUUUCCCAAAUUGAGAACUGCAAAUUGAGAGAGAAAAAAAGAAAGAAAAGGCAGAUAACUUUUAAGGCAGGUGCUUCAUCCAUGGCUGCAAACUUCUCUUGCCCACAAAUUGGGUCCUUCCCUCCCUUCUUUCGUUUAUCUAUUUUCUGCGUCUCCACAUCAGACUUUUCCUCCCGGCACUGCGAUUCGCCGCACUCCAUUGAAGAACGAUUCCUAAUCUGGUGGAUCUACUCCGAUUGUGGAUUUUUGAGGUAAACCCUAAUCAGGUGGAUCUACUCCGAUUGAGGAUUUUUAAGGUAAAUUGCCUCAUCGAGUGAAGUUCUUUAAUUGAUAUUUGUGUUGUUUGCGCGUGUCUUUUAAUUUCUAUAUUUUGUUUAACUGAAGCGACGACGAUGGCAACUUCUAGAAGCGCAUUAGCAGCAGUUCGGCUGAGUAGAUCGGCAGCAUCAGCCUUUCGGGCAUCCGGCGCUGGUCACACUCCAUCCGCCGCCCUCCAAUCGACCCGCCCCCGAUCUCGCUGCUCCUAUCGCGCUCCCGUGCCCUAAUGUCCCCCGGUGGCAGCAACAUAUCUUUUGUCACUCUUUUCUCUGCGUCAUGCCUCAAUCGCGUAGCAUCCUGCCCUACUCUAACUCUUCUUCGCAGGUGCGUCGAUUUUGCUGGUUAUUGAUUUCAUUUUUUCCUAUGACGUAGAAACUGAAAAAAAAAAAUACAGAAGUCUGCUAUCAAUUUCUUUCAAGGCCCUUACUUAUGCAUAUCGACUCUUUGGAUUUCAUCAGGUUAAAGUUGCCUUGAUUGACAUGAUGCUGGAAGCACUGGUCUUAACUUAACGUCAGCAGAAUUGAAAGUCAAAGUGUGUCUUAAUCUUCAUGGUAUUGUGUCUGUUGAAUUAGCAACGGUAAGCUCUCAGCUCUAUUGAUGAAUUUUAUUUCUUAUGCUUACUGCUGCGUAGUGGGGGUUUUUAGCAAAUUACUCGAAGUACCAAGCUUAUUAAAAGUCUUCUUCAUUUUUGGUGUCUUUUAUUACCAAUUUAUUCGCUAUUUUUAAAAGUGAGAUGUAUCAUGUAUAUAACUGCAGUAUAACAGUCAGCUGAGGCAACAAACAUAUUAGUCGCUAUCCAUAAUCAAGCUCAGACACAGAAAACUAAGACAUUCCAUAACCAGAGUUAGAGAUAAUGCAUUCAUCCUUGAAAUAAUUUAAUGAGGCUGAGAAAUUUUCGGGACCUUUCUGCAAUUUGAGUUUCGUCAAAAAACUAACAUAUAUAAGAUAGUAGAAAAGAUUAAUAACAGGUAUAUCAGAUUUUUCAUCCAAUGGAGAUGGUUUGGCCAAUAAACUGUAGGUUGUAUAAGAUAAUAACUAGAUCUUAAUUAUCACCAUAAAAGAUAGAUAUUAAGAAAAUGCCAAAUUGCUAAAAUGUUAGUUCUAUUGGUAAAAAAGAAAGUUGUCUCUGGGUGCUAGAACUUAUUUAUGUGUUUAUGGAAUUGCACUAUCGUAGCGUAAUUUGAUGAUUGUAUCAGAGUUUUAUGCAUGUAUCUAUUCUUAAGGAAAAUUCUUAUUGGUAUAUAUUUUCUCGAGCAAGACUGUAAACAUACAUGUUAUAUUUGAAUUUUAAUUUUUUAUCUACGUAUUUGUGCUUCUGCUGCUGUGUGGUGGCACUGGCUUUCUUCGUGUGGAUUAUUUCAAUUUUUUUUUUUNUCUGUUUUGAAUUUUGGAAUUGCUGUGAGGAUUUUAUAAUAUUGCUUUCAGAUGAUGGUGAAAGGCUAUUUGUUAUUGCUAAGUAUGAUGGUGAUCCAUAUUCUGAUUGAUGAUGAGAUCCCACACACGGGAAUCGGCCUAAUAUUACUUUCUGAAGCAUUUUGGUGCAUCAAUGUUCAUUUAGAUAUACUAUAUGAUGUUUUCUAUGAUCAUGGAUGGGUGUUUCAGUGUAUUAUUUGACACAGGUUACACAUUUUGCUAUUAAUAUUGCUUCUAAUCCACUAUUAUAUGAUAUAAAUACUUGUCUAAAUAGUUUACAUGUCUUUUGCUUGGAUAGUUAUUCAU